rnacentral:rRNA from 1 species
CCUACGGGGGGCUGCAGUGGGGAAUUUUGGACAAUGGGCGCAAGCCUGAUCCAGCCAUGCCGCGUGCGGGAAGAAGGCCUUCGGGUUGUAAACCGCUUUUGUCAGGGAAGAAAAGUUCCGGGUUAAUACCCUGGGAUGCUGACGGUACCUGAAGAAUAAGCACCGGCUAACUACGUGCCAGCAGCCGCGGUAAUACGUAGGGUGCGAGCGUUAAUCGGAAUUAGCGGGCGUAAAGCUGGCGCAGGCGGUUGAAAUCCCCGGGCUCAACCUGGGAACUGCAUUUGUGACUGCACGACUGGAGUGCGGCAGAGGGGGAUGGAAUUCCGCGUGUAGCAGUGAAAUGCGUAGAUAUGCGGAGGAACACCGAUGGCGAAGGCAAUCCCCUGGGCCUGCACUGACGCUCAUGCACGAAAGCGUGGGGAGCAAACAGGAUUAGAUACCCUGGUAGUC